AACCAUCCGGGGUACAGACGAGGGAAAAUGGCCAAAGGAAUAACAGCGUGAGCACCCAACAGCUGUCUGUCAAUCCCCUGCGCCACGUGGGAGGCCACUUCCUAGGCUCCCCCCUAGGCAGUCCACUAUUGGGCGCCGCUGUGGCCAAACCCGUGGGUUCCCGGUGGAAGGGAGGUGGGUCCCACGCAGGCCACCCCAGCGCCCUCUCCGCACUGCUGAAGGACCCGUCAUCGCCUCCAUCUGGUGCCUGCGAAUUCAGCCCCCCUUUCCACCGCAGGGCCACCGCCCAGCCCUCUCUGAUUCAAAGGACAGGCGGAAGCAGCGCAGAACUGCCACCUCCAGGGAAACGUGCUGAAAGGCGGGGACCGGGAAGGCGGCUGCGUUUGGUCGGGACGGCAAAGCGGCUCAGCGACAGGGCACAGGAGGAGCGUGUCAGAACAGGACCCGGGGUUGUCAGGGCCCAAGAAGAGGGUGGUCCUGCGAGCCACUGCUUCCUGCGCGUGUCAGUGCCCUUCGGAAAGGAGCUCCGCCGAGGAGUCGGCCUCCCGGUUCCAAAGGUCUCCGGCCAAAUUAUUUGGGCCCUGCUCCAGGACGCAUGAAGGGUCAGUCGCCUGCGCUGGAGACAGGUGCGCCCCCCCGCCCUUUCCUCCGCAAGAGAAACACCCUGUGUCUGUGCCCCUCGCUCUUCCGUGAUCAAUUGAAUUCAGCCACUAGAUUUUCACUUUGGCUUCUCGCCUGGAUUUUGAGGAACCUAAGGUUUCAUCCCGUUUUCAUCCUUCUCAAGAAGCAGCCUACUCUGCCGUUUUUCCAUCUCCCCGACCCCAGCUGCAGUGGCGAUGCGAUACACUAAAUGCGGAAAACACUGCCCGAGAGCAGGGUCUCCAUACAGAGAAACAGUGCCACAUGAUGCAAAUAACAGAAAACAGAGGGACAUAAGAAGAUGGAUGUGAGGACUUGAGGUGUGCAGCCACAAGCCCAGGAAUGCCCAGGGCCACCAGGCUAGAAGAGGCAGGAAGGGUCCUGCCCCAGAGGCUGUGGAGGGAGCACAGCCCUGCCCACACCUGGAGUUGGGACUUCUGUCCUCCAGAACUGUGAGAGACUACACUUCUGUUGUUUUAAAUCA